GCUCUGGGGGAUUAUAUGCAGCUAGUCAGUCUGCUUUCUGGGGCAGGCUUGGGAGUGGGGAGGGAGGGCAAGGGUCCUCACCACGGGGUAAGCACGGCCCUGUGGCUCUGUCUGCUGGUGCGGCCCAGCGACGACCUGCCCUGUCAGCUCUGACAGAGCCAAGGACAAACACAGGCCUGUCACUGAUGGAGCCUGCAUCCUGUGGCUGCUGAUUCCUUUCCAGCUUUCGGUAUUGACUUUGGUCCUCUUCCCGGUUCCCAGUAGAGAGGCCUCCCCUCCUCCCCAGGAACCCCCGGUUCUCACUGCCCUAUCCAAAGGCAGAGCGGGUGGUGGCCUGAAAUCCCACCAGGAGGGCCCCACAUCCAAGUCCCCAACACUCACAGGUGGGGGAAGCCGACCUCUCACGGACUCAGCAGCACACGAAGGAGAAGGCACCCCCGAGGAGGCUGGGAUGUGAAAACGGAGAGUGGCUGACGGUCAUGGGCCUGGGGCUUGCCAAGCCUGCACUCGGCCAAUCCCUCAGCAGCCCCUUUUACAGGAAGCGAAAAGAUGGGUGCAAUGACGAAGCUGUUUGCCCAAGAUCUUGUAGCAGAGGUUUCCGGACCAAAAGCACUGAACCAGCCACUGUCAGCAGAAGUGGACUCACACCCUCAACUUGUGAAGAAGGCACCAACCCCGUGUCUGCAAAGGCAACACAGAAAAAAGAAAAAAAAUCCGCCUCGAAAAACGCCAGGCUUCAUGUAUCAGCAUAUUCACUCCUUCAGCCCGGCAAUUUGAUUUCUGGGAAUUACCCCGAAGAAAUCCUCUGGAUGAGAAAGCAGCUGUGUGUGGUGGGAAAGACCACGAGGCUCCUUAUCUCAGAGAAGAACAGAAAUAACCCCAAGAUGCAGUGAAGGAAUGGGUGAGGGGAAUACUGGACAACACUGAUGUAAUAUUGCAGAGCUGUUCAAAAGAGGCUCACAGGGGCACCUGGGUGGCUCAGUCGUUAAGCGUCUGCCUUUGGCUCAGGUCAUGAUCCCGGGUUCCUGGAUCGAGUCCCGCAUGGGGCUCCUGCUCGGCGGGAAGCCUGCUUCUCUCUCUGCCUCUGCCUGCCCCUCCCCCUGCUUGGGCGCUCUCCCUCUCUCUCUCUCUAAUAACUAAAUAAAAUCUUAAAAAAAAAAAAAAGAUGCUCACAAUGCAUUAAUGGUCAUCUGAGGAACGUUUCUAGUGACGGCAUAUCAUCACAUUUAAGACACCAUUGAUUGUAAGACGUGCCACAAUUUCAUGUAUCAGGAAGGAAGAAAAAAUACCCAGGAUGGGUUAUCUAACAACGGGCAUCUAAGUAGCUAGGACCCCAAGGGACUAUUCCCUAAAUGCAUGGGGGAUGAAAAACAGCCCUUUCCAGGCAGAAAGUAUGUCUCAUCCUCGCCCUGGGUGCAGGGAGGAAACAAAAUCGCCCUUGAGAAUGUGAAGAAGCCCGUACCCAUACAGGUUGGAGUCUGAAUUUGCACUACAGACGUGGUCUCCAAACACCUCCAGCGAAAGCUGAAAAUUUAAAUUUAAUGUAAAGUCUGCUCAAGUUGGCAGUGCCCCCAGGAGACUGUCAGAAGCAAUACGAACCCCCUUUGGAAGAGGUGAAUUUCAAGAGGCUGACGGCGCCUGGAAAACCAUCCGUUGUGUGGUGCAAGAUCCAGAGAUGUUAGAAUGUGAAGAUAAGCCAGUCUUAGAAUUGAUGUUAAACAAAAAGCAGAAUAAAAUGGCAUGUGGGCAAUGAUAUGUCAUUGCAGAGAUGACCAACUGGAAGGAAAUACACUAAAAUGUUAACUGUGGUUUUCUGUAGUUGUAACACUAGAACUUUUUUUUCUUUAAAUGACU